rnacentral:tRNA from 1 species
GGAGGCUUUAGCUUAAUUAAAGUGUCUGAGUUGCAUUCAGGGGAUGUAUUCUAAAGUUAUACAGGUCUUC